rnacentral:misc_RNA from 1 species
GAUGAAGAACGCAGCGAAAUGCGAUAAGUAAUGUGAAUUGCAGAAUUCAGUGAAUCAUCGAGUCUUUGAACGCACAUUGCGCCCUCUGGUAUUCCGGAGGGCAUGCCUGUCCGAGCGUCAUUGCUGCCCUCAAGCACGGCUUGUGUGUUGGGCCCCGCCCCCCGAUCCCGGGGGGCGGGCCCGAAAGGCAGCGGCGGCACCGCGUCCGGUCCUCGAGCGUAUGGGGCUUUGUCACCCGCUCUGUAGGCCCGGCCGGCGCCUGCCGAUCAACCAAACUUUUUUCCAGGUUGACCUCGGAUCAGGUAGGGAUACCCGCUGAACUUAAGCAUAUCAAUAAGCGGAGGA